rnacentral:rRNA from 1 species
UGGUCAAGUUAUUAAGGGUGCAGGGCGGAUGCCUUGGCACUAGGAGCCGAUGAAGGACGUGAUAAGCUGCGAUAAGCUUCGGGGAGUUGCACGUAAACUUUGAUCCGAAGAUUUCCGAAUGAGGAAACUCACUUAGAGUAAUGUCUAAGUAUCAUUAAGUGAAUACAUAGCUUAAUGAGGGGAACUCAGGGAACUGAAACAUCUAAGUACCUGAAGGAAGAGAAAGAAAUUCGAUUCCGUAAGUAGCGGCGAGCGAACGCGGAUUAGCCCAAACCAAUAAAGUUUUCUUUAUUGGGGUUGAGGACAUACCACAUAUAAGAGGUCAUUAUAGACGAAGAAGUUUGGAAAAACUCAUCAUAGAAGGUAAUAAUCCUGUAGUCAAAAUAAUAAUUCUUUAGGUAUGAUCCAGAGUACCACGGGACACGUGAAACCCUGUGGGAAGCAGGAGGGACCACCCUCCAAGGCUAAAUACUACCUAGUGACCGAUAGCGUAUAGUACCGUGAGGGAAAGGUGAAAAGAACCCCGGGAGGGGAGUGAAAUAGAACCUGAAACCCUGCACUUACAAGCUGUGGAAGCACAUUUCUUGUGUGACCGCGUACUUUUUGUAGAACGGGCCAACGAGUUACGUUAAGUAGCAAGGUUAAGCACUUAAGGUGCGGAGCCGUAGCGAAAGCGAGUUUUAACUGAGCGUUCAGUUACUUGACGUAGACCCGAAACCGGGCGACCUACCCAUGAGCAGGAUGAAGCGAAAGUAAAAUUUCGUGGAGGUCCGAACCCACGAGCGUUGAAAAGCUCGGGGAUGACUUGUGGGUAGCGGUGAAAUUCCAAUCGAGCCCGGAGAUAGCUGGUUCUCCCCGAAAUAGCUUUAGGGCUAGCCUCAAGGUGAGAGAUACGGAGGUAGAGCACUGAAUGUCCUAGGGGGUAUUGCACCUACCGAAGACUAUCAAACUCCGAAUGCCGUCAUCUUAUACUUGGGAGUCAGACUGUGGGUGAUAAGAUUCAUAGUCGAAAGGGCAACAGCCCAGAUCGUCAGCUAAGGUCCCUAAAUGUAAGUUAAGUGGUAAAGGAUGUGGGAUUGCACAGACAACCAGGAUGUUGGCUUAGAAGCGACCACUCAUUCAAAGAGUGCGUAAUAGCUCACUGGUCGAGUGAUCCUGCGCCGAAGAUUUCCGGGGCUAAAACUUACUACCGAAGCUACGGCAUCAGUAAUGAUGGGUAGGGGAGCUUCCCAUACGGGUUGAAGCAUGACCGUAAGGACAUGUGGACAGUAUGGGAGUGAGAAUGUUGGCAUGAGUAGCGAGAUGUGGGUGAGAAUCCCACAGGCCGUAAACCCAAGGUUUCCAGGGGAAGGUUCGUCCGCCCUGGGUUAGUCGGGACCUAAGCUGAGGCCGAAAGGCGUAGGUGAUGGACAACAGGUUGAUAUUCCUGUACUACCGAUAACCGUUUGAGAGAAGGGAUGACACAGUAGGAUAAGCUAAGCACACUGUUGGUUAUGUGUGCCCAAGCAUUGAGGCAGUCAAAGUAGGCAAAUCCGCUUUGAUAAUGCUGGGAUGUGAUGGGGAGCGAAAUUUAGUAGCGAAGUAGCUGAUUUCACACUGUCAAGAAAAGUCUCUAUCGAGGUUAAAGGUACCCGUACCGCAAACCGACACAGGUGGGUGAGGAGAGUAUCCUAAGGCCAGCGAGAGAACUGUUGUUAAGGAACUCGGCAAAAUGACCCCGUAACUUAGGGAUAAGGGGUGCCACCAUCAGGUGGCCGCAGAGAAUAGGCCCAAGCGACUGUUUACCAAAAACAUAGGUUUCUGCUAAGUCGCAAGACGAUGUAUAGGAGCUGACGCCUGCCCGGUGCUGGAAGGUUAAGGGGAUCUGUUAGAGCAAUCGAAGCAGUGAACUUAAGCCCCAGUAAACGGCGGCCGUAACUAUAACGGUCCUAAGGUAGCGAAAUUCCUUGUCGGGUAAGUUCCGACCCGCACGAAAGGCGUAACGAUUUGGGCACUGUCUCAACAACAGACUCGGUGAAAUUGUAAUUCCGGUGAAGAUGCCGGAUACCUGCGACAGGACGGAAAGACCCCAUGGAGCUUUACUGUAGCUUGACAUUGGGUCUUGGUACUACAUGUACAGGAUAGGUGGGAGGCUUUGAAACCAGGACGCCAGUUUUGGCGGAGCCAUCCUUGGGAUACCACCCUUGUAGUACUGGGACUCUAACCAUAGGCCAUGAAUCUGGUCUUGGGACACUGUCAGGUGGGCAGUUUGACUGGGGCGGUCGCCUCCCAAAAGGUAACGGAGGCGCUCAAAGGUUCUCUCAGUACGGUCGGAAAUCGUACGUAGAGUGUAAAGGCAAAGAGAGCUUGAUUGCAAGACAUACAGGUCGAGCAAGGAUGAAAAUCGGACUUAGUGAUCCGGUGGUUCUGCGUGGAAGGGCCAUCGCUCAACGGAUAAAAGCUACCCUGGGGAUAACAGGCUUAUCUCCCCCAAGAGUCCACAUCGACGGGGAGGUUUGGCACCUCGAUGUCGGCUCAUCACAUCCUGGGGCUGUAGUAGGUCCCAAGGGUUGGGCUGUUCGCCCAUUAAAGUGGUACGCGAGCUGGGUUCAGAACGUCGUGAGACAGUUCGGUCCCUAUCCGUCGCAGGCGUAGGAAAUUUGAGAAGACCUGUCCUUAGUACGAGAGGACCGGGAUGGACGUACCUCUGGUGUACCAGUUGUCCUGCCAAGGGCAUGGCUGGGUAGCUAUGUACGGAAUGGAUAAGCGCUGAAAGCAUCUAAGCGCGAAGCCAACUUCAAGAUAAGAUUUCCCACCGCAAGGGUAAGACCCCAGAAAGACUAUCUGGUUGAUAGGUCGAAGGUGUAAGUGCAGCAAUGUAUUUAGCUUAUCGAUACUAAUAGGUCGAGGACUUGACCAAU